CUUUACGGCCAUACCACACUAUCUGCACCUGAUCUCGUCUGAUCUCGGAAGCUAAGCAGGGUAGGUCCUGGUUUGUACUUGGAUGGGAGACUGCCUAGGAAUACCAGGUGCUGUACGCU
rnacentral:rRNA from 1 species